rnacentral:rRNA from 1 species
GUGAACGCUGGCGGUAGGCCUAACACAUGCAAGUCGAACGGCAGCACAGUAAGAGCUUGCUCUUACGGGUGGCGAGUGGCGGACGGGUGAGGAAUACCUCGGAAUCUACUUUUUCGUGGGGGAUAACGUAGGGAAACUUACGCUAAUACCGCAUACGACCUACGGGUGAAAGCAGGGGAUCUUCGGACCUUGCGCGAUUGAAUGAGCCGAUGUCGGAUUAGCUAGUUGGCGGGGUAAAGGCCCACCAAGGCGACGAUCCGUAGCUGGUCUGAGAGGAUGAUCAGCCACACUGGAACUGAGACACGGUCCAGACUCCUACGGGAGGCAGCAGUGGGGAAUAUCGGACAAUGGGCGCAAGCCUGAUCCAGCCAUACCGCGUGGGUGAAGAAGGCCUUCGGGUUGUAAAGCCCUUUUGUUGGGAAAGAAAAGCAGCAGGUUAAUACCCCGCUGUUCUGACGGUACCCAAAGAAUAAGCACCGGCUAACUUCGUG